rnacentral:rRNA from 1 species
AUACGGAGGAUCCGAGCGUUAUCCGGAUUUAUUGGGUUUAAAGGGAGCGUAGGCGGACGCUUAAGUCAGUUGUGAAAGUUUGCGGCUCAACCGUAAAAUUGCAGUUGAUACUGGGUGUCUUGAGUACAGUAGAGGCAGGCGGAAUUUGUGGGGUGGCGGUGAAAUGCUUAGAUAUCACGAAGAACUCCGAUUGCGAAGGCAGACUGCUGGACUGUAACUGACGCUGAUGCUCGAAAGUGUGGGUAUCAAACAGGAUUAGAUACCCUGGUAGUCCACACAGUAAACGAUGAAUACUCGCUGUUUGCGAUAUACAGUAAGCGGCCAAGCGAAAGCGUUAAGUAUUCCACCUGGGAGUACGCCGGCAACGGUGAAACUUAAAGGAAUUGACGGGG